AAGAGAAUUUAAAAGACCUGUCGUUUGAAGAGGAAUCUGCGACCUAUCAGCUAGUUGGUGAGGUAACGGCUCACCAAGGCAUUUGACGGGUAGCUGGUCUGAGAGGAUGGUCAGCCACACUGGGACUGAGACACUGCCCAGACUCCUACGGGAGGCUGCAGUCGAGAAUCUUUUGCAAUGGGCGAAAGCCUGACAAUGCGACGCCGCGUGAGCGAUGAAGGUCUUCGGAUUGUAAAGCUCUGUUGUAGGGGAUGAAAUUACUUGACGCUAAUAGCGUCAAGUAUUGACAGUACCCUAAGAGGAAGCCACGGCUACUCCGUGCCAGCAGCCGCGGUAAUACGGAGGUGGCAAGCGUUGUUCGGAUUGAUUGGGUGUAAAGGGCAUGUAGGCGCCCCGAUAAGUUUUCGGUGAAAUCCUUGAGCUUAACUCAAGAAUUGCCGAGAAAACUGUCGGGGUUGAGUACGGAAGGGGAGAAUGGAAUUCCCGGUGUAAGGGUGAAAUCUGUAGAUAUCGGGAGGAACACCAGUGGCGAAGGCGAUUCUCUGGUCCGAUACUGACGCUGAAAUGCGAAAGCUAGGGGAGCAAACAGGAUUAGAUACCCUGGUAGUCCUAGCCGUAAACGAUGGGCACUAGGUGUAGGCUUGAAAGAGUCUGUGCCGCAGUUAACGCAUUAAGUGCCCCACCUGGGGAGUACGUCGGCAACGAUGAAACUCAAAGGAAUUGACGGGGGCUCACACAAGCGGU
rnacentral:rRNA from 1 species